rnacentral:misc_RNA from 1 species
GGUCAAAAUUGUAAAAAAGAAGGUAAUUCUUCGAUUUUCUCAGUGAAUGCCCUUCAUUAUAAUGUGCAUGUUGCUUCCGAUUCUUGCAUGUAAAGCUGUUAGAAUUUCCACAGGAAUUCUUUGUUGCUAUUUUGGCCACCAGAUGCUACUAAUCAUUUUCUUAGAAAUCAAUAUAAUUGAUUGUUUAGGAAUCUCUUGUAAUUUUAUGACUUGAAUCCCAUUCUGUUUCAAGAAUCUAUCUGUUCUGGGAAGUUAAAUAUCUAACUCUUGCAAUGACAAGAGUAAAAAUGUCAAGAAAAUUGUGAUGGUGCAAUAGAGGUAAGUGUAUGUGUUGUUGAACCUUUUGUGUUUGGAAUUGAUAUAUAGUUGGACGUGUAUGUUUUAUCAAACUACAAGUAAUGUUUGGCCUUUUUCAACAGUCAACUAGAUAUCAGUAAUUGUUUUUAAGCACAGUUUGCAAAUUUUAUAAUCUAAA